UUAUUGCUGAUGAGUCCCAAACAGGACGAAACAGCUGUCCUGUGA
rnacentral:hammerhead_ribozyme from 1 species